GACGACGACGUGCUGUUCGAGGAUGUGUACGAGCUGUGCGAGGUGAUCGGAAAGGGUCCCUUCAGUGUUGUACGACGAUGUAUCAACAGAGAAACUGGGCAACAAUUUGCUGUAAAAAUUGUUGAUGUAGCCAAGUUCACAUCAAGUCCAGGGUUAAGUACAGAAGAUCUAAAGCGGGAAGCCAGUAUCUGUCAUAUGCUGAAACAUCCACACAUUGUAGAGUUAUUGGAGACAUAUAGCUCAGAUGGAAUGCUUUACAUGGUUUUCGAAUUGUGAGUGUGUAUUUUAAUUCUUAAAGGGUAAAACUUUAAGUGACGUUGGUGUUGGAUAAUGCUAACACUUUUCUCUUGAAAUUUAGCAGUAGUUGUGAACUUAUCUGUUCAGAAAGACCUAAAGUCACAAGAAAAAAGGAUUAUGUCAUCAUAAGGUUUACAGUGGCAAAGGAAGCAAAAGCUGGGCAUAUUCAGUUACUCUCAUGCUUUCAGCAUGCUUCAGAGAAGAGACUCCAAAAGGAAAUCGAGUUCAGAGGAAUAGGAGGAUCCCAAAAUAUAAACUUCUGACCAGUAGAAGUCUUAGUGAAGAAGAGUAGGAUGAAAGUGGAGGCAUCCAUGUAGCAAGACUCUUGGCAACUAAAAACAA
rnacentral:sRNA from 1 species